CGGGAGGCGCGCUGGGUGCUAACGACACGUCAGCCUUCGGACCGGCUGGCGGGUGACGGUGCUUUAGAGAGUUUUCAUCGCAGACACUUCUGCUGCAAAGAUGGUCAACGUACCUAAAACCCGAAGGACUUUCUGUAAGAAAUGUGGCAAGCACCAGCCUCACAAAGUGACCCAGUAUAAGAAGGGCAAGGAUUCCCUGUAUGCCCAAGGAAAGCGGCGCUACGACCGGAAGCAGAGUGGCUAUGGCGGGCAAACAAAGCCAAUUUUUCGAAAGAAGGCCAAAACCACAAAGAAGAUUGUGCUCAGGCUUGAGUGUGUUGAGCCCAACUGCAGAUCUAAGAGGAUGCUGGCCAUUAAGAGAUGCAAGCAUUUUGAACUGGGAGGCGACAAGAAGAGAAAGGGUCAAGUGAUCCAGUUCUAAAACUUGUGUUUUCUUAGAGGAAAAUACUGAAGCAGUAGAAAAAUGACCUGCUAGAGAAUAAAAGUUAUUGUUACUGGU
rnacentral:lncRNA from 1 species